GGAAGGUUCGCCUAGUUGGUCCAUGGCGCCUGCUUGGAAAGCAGGUGAGCGUAAGCUCACGUGGGUUCAAAUCCCACACCUUCCG
rnacentral:tRNA from 2 species